GACGAUGCGGGGGAAGGGGACGUUUCAAUGUGUGGAGGUGGAUGUUUUUGUUUCGGUUCUGUAGUUCUGCUGUCUGUGCGGCCUCCUUUUACCGUCAGUUUGAGUUAUUUCACGGCUGAAUCACGCCCAAAACGCGCUUUUACCAGUCGUUUGUCUCCGUAUGAUUAAUAUUAUGUUGGGGAUGACAGCGGCCAAGAUGGCUUUUUAGAACUGAAGAUGGUGUUGGUUUCUUAGUGCUGUGGUGAUGAACAAAGUGUGUGGCUGGACAUUGUAAACCGUGUUUGUGGUCCUGAUGUCUCGAAGGAAGGCUCUGAUCUUGUGAGGAGUUAAGUGGCUCAGCCAGAUCUUAUGAUAUUGUUUGAUGUAGGUCAGAGGUCACAAUUGGUCACUCACCUUCUGUAACACAUUUACUUUCAGGUAAUCAUUAGCAGCUUUGAGAUCAGGUCCAUGCUCAGUUUUUCAUUCCAAACAUGCCACUUCUCUGAAUCCAGAUUCUCAAAUGUACUAAAAAUACAGUGUGACCGUUGGUUGGAUAAUACAAUUGAUUAACUUGUGAACAUUUUCCACAGUUUUCUGACAGUAUACAUCAACCAAUUGAGAUGAAAAUAAUUUAGCUGUAGCCCUGGUAAAAUCUAAAUUAUGCAAAUACAAAUUAAACUUUGACCAAUAAAUAAAUGUAUCUUCUAAUAUCUGCUCAAUGUAUUUAUAUUGAUGUAUACGUCAGCCAAUAUGUAAAUAAUAAGGAAUUGCACUACAGGAAUGCCAAAGGUGCAGUAUGCUUGAAGAUAAGACAAUAGUGAAAGUGAACUGUAACCCUAGGUUGCACUUUAACUGUGAUUCUAGUUCCUUCUCUUAUCUCGGUUUGAAUCAAGAAUUGCGCAAGCCGGCUCAACCUUCAAACCACUUGUGUUGAACAUCUAAACAUGCACACAAUGACGUGUUUAAAGGCUCAUUCAUGAUUGUUGACUGAAGGCCAUCGUCACUUGCAGGUUGAGGCUAAUGUGAGAUUAGAGCCUUGGGAUUGGGGGUCAAACCUAAGGGCAUUAUAAUCAGUAGUAAAACUCAUUCACAACGAAGAAAAAGCAACCUCUCUUUACCUGUUAAUGAGGUGCGUUUUGUAAUUUUAAACGAUAAUGAUCUGUUUGGGUGUGCAACACGUGUUUUGGAAACAGAAGUGGAGUGAAGUAGUAGGAUGCUCCUGCUGUAAAUUUGUAAACAGUGAUCUCUUUGUGACUACGGAUGUUUUUUCCUUUCAGUGUCAAGGUUUUCACUUUUUAACGGAGAAAGUCUGUGGCAAACCAAAGAAGCCAACAAAAUGUUUUUAGCUGCACAAGACCAUCAUGUACAAGGGGUCACAUAGCUACCUAAACCAGGGUUUUAAACUGCCGAUCCGGCUGACCCCCCGGCCUGCAAGACAAUGUCUUAACCCCCCCCCCUGCAAAUUUCUUAUUGUCUAUUUGAAAAUAAUAAAAUAUCUGGUAUGGCUGCAAAACUAGCAUAAACAUUGGCUUUAUUUGGCCUAACUGAACAGCUUUUAAAAAUGGACACUGAAGUCGCUUUCCAAACCUAAAAUAAAGGUUGAACUGGAGGACAGACAGUUGUAAGAGUGUUGGACAGUCGAUUGUUGCCGUCAACAGAUUCAUGUGACGACUUUGUCUCGUCAGGAGUAGUAACCCUGACAAUUACCCAUUUUCAAGCACACAAGAUUGUAUUAUUACUGCAGGAAUCUUAAUAUUGUCUAAUGUUUUACUGUAGAUUUAAUAUUUGAUCUGAGAAAUUCACCUCAGUUACAUGUGCAGUUGCAUUGAAGCUCCUGUGUUAGGGGAGCUGAUGUAACUUA